AAGCCGUUAUGCGGACAAUCUCUUACUAGCCUCUUAUACCUCGCCCAUGCGUCACUGAGCGAUUCGUCAAUUUCCUGUUCAAAAUUCGUAAUUAACUUCCUUAUUCU